rnacentral:lncRNA from 1 species
GUGCCCAAGUGUUCACCCUCCAACAGUGAUCCACACAGGAUCUUGAUCAAGACUCUUGCUCCUUAAAUGAUUUUUCCCACUGAAUUCUUUCUUCAAAAAUUCUUUUGGCAGCACAACCCCUAGGCUUCCUUCCUCUCCUCCUAGCCUUUCUUUCUCUUUCUUUCUUGUCUCCUUAUCUUUCUUAAUUCUCUUCUUAGGCCCUUGUCCUAAAAUCAGACUUAUCCUUACUAUUUUAAAACUUAUCCUAACAAUAUAAGAAAGAGGAUAAUUAGACAAUAAGGAGAAGUGGUAAGAAAGAAGAGAUAAGGCUUUUCCCCGAUGAUCAGAAUACCCGAUGUGCGUCUCCUUUUAUAGUUGGAGAACGGAUGCCUUUGGG